GCCGACGUGGUGGAACGGGAUACACUCUGGUUUCAAAAUCCAGCGCCCGAAAGGGAUUGAGGGUUCGACUCCCUCCGUCGGCA
rnacentral:tRNA from 1 species